rnacentral:rRNA from 1 species
GACGAACGCUGGCGGCGUGCUUAACACAUGCAAGUCGAACGGAAAGGCCCUGCUUUUGUGGGGUGCUCGAGUGGCGAACGGGUGAGUAACACGUGAGUAACCUGCCCUUGACUUUGGGAUAACUUCAGGAAACUGGGGCUAAUACCGGAUAGGAGCUCCUGCUGCAUGGUGGGGGUUGGAAAGUUUCGGCGGUUGGGGAUGGACUCGCGGCUUAUCAGCUUGUUGGUGGGGUAGUGGCUUACCAAGGCUUUGACGGGUAGCCGGCCUGAGAGGGUGACCGGCCACAUUGGGACUGAGAUACGGCCCAGACUCCUAAGGGAGGCAGCAGUGGGGAAUAUUGCACAAUGGGCGGAAGCCUGAUGCAGCAACGCCGCGUGCGGGAUGACGGCCUUCGGGUUGUAAACCGCUUUCGCCUGUAACGAAGCGUGAGUGACGGUAAUGGGUAAAGAAGCACCGGCUAACUACGUG